UACGUAGGGUGCGAGCGUUAAUCGGAAUUACUGGGCGUAAAGCGUGCGCAGGCGGCGCGUUAAGACAGGUGUGAAAGCCCCGAGCUUAACUUGGGAAUUGCGCUUGUGACUGGCGUGCUGGAGUGUGGCAGAGGGAGGUGGAAUUCCACGUGUAGCAGUGAAAUGCGUAGAUAUCUGGAGGAACACCGGUGGCGAAGGCGGCAUCCUGGACCAAUAUUGACGCUGAGGAGCGAAAGCCAGGGGAGCAAACGGG
rnacentral:rRNA from 1 species